GGCAGAAUAGCUCAGUUGGUAAGAGCACUACUGGUGGCACAAUCACCUAGAGGUCCCUGGUUCAAUUCCGGGUUUUUUCG